rnacentral:rRNA from 1 species
CAGAGUACCACGGGACACGUGAAACCCUGUGGGAAGCAGGAGGGACCACCCUCCAAGGCUAAAUACUACCUAGUGACCGAUAGCGUAUAGUACCGUGUGGGCAAGGUGAAAAGAACCACGUGAGGGGCGUGAAUUAGAACCUGAAACCCUGCACUUCCAAGCUGCGGAAGCACAUUUCUUGUAUGACCGCGGACUUUUUGUAGUACGACCUAACGAGUUACGUUAAGUA